GCCUGUGCCGAGUGUCCUGUAGUUUGUAGUCUGUGUCCUGAGCCUGUGUCGUGUGUCCUAUAGCCUGUGGCCUGUAGUCUUUGUCCUAGAGCUGGUGUCUCUUUGUAGUAGCCAGUGUCCUGUGUACUGAAGCCGGUUUCUUGUAGCCUGUGACAAUGUCCUGUAUUCUGUGUCCUGUAUUCUGUGUCCUGUAGCCUGUGCCCUGUGCUCUGGAUCCUAGCUCCUGUGGCCUGUGGCCUCUGUCUUGUGUUGUGUAGCCUGUGUCCUGUAGUCCGUGGCCUAUGUCCUGUAGCUGUGGCCUUUGUCCUGUGUCCACUGUGCUGUAUGCUGUUGUGCAGGAUAUUGGAUGUAGGCUACAGAACACAGGUUACAGGACACAAGACAGAGGCCCAAAGCAAAGGCCACAGUCUACAGGAUUCAGGGCAUAGGGCAGUGGACACAGGACACAGGAUAGAGGACACAGGAUACAGGACCCAGAACACAGAACACAGAACACAGGACACAGGCUAGGGGACAUAGGACACCAGCUAGAGGACAGAGGACACAAGAUUCAGGAUGUGUACAUAGGCCAAAGGGUACAAGACACAGGACACAGGCUACACAACACAGGACACAGGACACAGGACAGAGGCUCCAGGACAGAGGCUGUGGGACACAGGACAUAACUACAGAACAAAGGAUACAGGCCACAAGCUACAGGACACUGACACAGGCUACACGACACAGGCUGAUGGAAAGAGGGAACAAGACAGCGGACACUGGGUAUAGGAUAGAGUGUCUUGUAGCCUGUGUCCUGUAGCCACUGUCCUGUGGCCUGUGGCCUGUGGCCUGUGGCCUGUAGCCUGUGCUCUGUCUCCUAUAGCCUCUGUCCUGUGUCCUGUGUCCUGUAGCUUGUUGGCUUUGUCCUGUGUCCUGCAACCUGUGUCCUGUAGCCUGUGUCCUCUAGGCUGUGUCCUGGGUUCCAUAUUCUGUGUCCUAUAUCCUGUGUCGUCUGGGCUAUGUCCUGGAGUCUCUUGUUACUGAUAGCCAUACAGGGCCCUGUCUUAACUUUGACAGAGUGAGUUCAC
rnacentral:lncRNA from 1 species